ACGCAAUAGAUACCCAGGUAGUCCACGCCGUAAACGAUGGGCACUAGAUGCUCGGGGAGCGACCCUCUGAGUGUCGUCGCUAACGCAUUAAGUGCCCCGCCUGGGGAGUACGGCCGCAAGGCUGAAACUCAAAGGAAUUGACGGGGGCCCGCACAAGCGGUGGAGUAUGUGGUUUAAUUCGACGCAACGCGAAGAACCUUACCUAGGCUUGACAUGCAUGGGAAAGCCCUGAGAAACCAGGGCCCCUCUUCGGAGUCCAUGCACAGGUGCUGCAUGGCUGUCGUCAGCUCGUGUCGUGAGAUGUUGGGUUAAGUCCCGCAACGAGCGCAACCCCCGGUUUCUAGUUGCCAGCGAGUAAAGUCGGGGACUCUAGAAAGACUGCCGGUGCCAAACCGGAGGAAGGUGGGGAUGACGUCAAGUCAUCAUGGUCCUUACGUCUAGGGCUACACACGUGCUACAAUGGCCGGUACAGCGGGCUGCGAGCUAGCGAUAGCAAGCCAAUCCCUUAAAGCCGG
rnacentral:rRNA from 1 species